rnacentral:rRNA from 1 species
GGGAGGCAGCAGUGGGGAAUUUUGGACAAUGGGCGAAAGCGUGAUCCANCCAUGCCGCGUGAGUGAAGAAGGCCUUCGGGUUGUAAAGCUCUUUCGGACCGAAAGAAAUCGCAUCGGNUAAUACUCGAUGUGGAUGACGGUACUGUCAUAAGAAGCACCGGCUAAAUACGUGCCAGCAGCCGCGGUAAUACGUAGGGUGCGAGCGUUUUUCGGAAUUACUGGGCGUAAAGCGUGCGCAGGCGGUUUUGAAAGACAGGCGUGAAAUCCCCGGGCUCAACCUGGGAAAUGCGCUUGUGACUUCAAGACUAGAGUGCGGCAGAGGGGGGUGGAAUUCCACGUGUAGCGGUGAAAUGCGUAGAGAUGUGGAGGAAUACCGAUGGCGAAGGCAGCCCCCUGGGCCAGUACUGACGCUCAUGCACGAAAGCGUGGGGAGCAAACAGGAUUAGAUACCCCGGUAGUCCACGCCCUAAACGAUGUCAACUAGGUGUUGGGUGGGUAAAACC